GACGAACGCUGGCGGCGUGCCUAACACAUGCAAGUCGAACGGAAGGGCCCUGCUUUUGCGGGGUGCUCGUGUGCCGAACGCGUGAGUAACACGCGAGUAAAACCCCCUUGACUUUCGGAUAUCUUCAGGAAACUGCGUAUAAUACCGGAUAGGAGCUCCUGCUGCAUGGUGGGGGUAGGAAAGUUUCGGCGGUUCGGGCUGGACUCGCGGCUUAUGCGCUUGUUGGUGGGGUAGUGGCUUACCAAGGCUUUGACGGGUAGCCGGCCUGGGAGGGUGACCAGCCACAUUGGGACUGCGAGACGGCCCAGACUCCUACGGGAGGCAGCGGAGGGGAAUAUUACGGAGUGGGCGGAAGCCUGUUGCGACAACGCAACGUGCGGGAAGACAUCCUACGAGUUGUAAACCGCUUUCGCAGGUGACGUAGCGUGAGUGACGGUAAUGGGUAAAAAAGCACCGGCUAACUACGUG
rnacentral:rRNA from 1 species